UACGUAGGGUGCGAGCGUUGUCCGGAAUUAUUGGGCGUAAAGAGCUCGUAGGCGGCUUGUCACGUCGGGUGUGAAAGCCCGGGGCUUAACCCCGGGUCUGCAUUCGAUACGGGCUGGCUAGAGUGUGGUAGGGGAGAUCGGAAUUCCUGGUGUAGCGGUGAAAUGCGCAGAUAUCAGGAAGAACACCUAUGGCGAAGGCAGCUCUCUGGGACGGUACUGACGCUGAGACGCGAAAGCGUGGGGAGCGAACAGG
rnacentral:rRNA from 1 species